rnacentral:rRNA from 1 species
UACGGAGGGGGUUAGCGUUGUUCGGAAUUACUGGGCGUAAAGCGCACGUAGGCGGAUCAGAAAGUUGGGGGUGAAAUCCCGGGGCUCAACCCCGGAACUGCCUCCAAAAACUCCUGGCUUGAGUUCGAGAGAGGUGAUGGAAUUCCGAGUGUAGAGGUGAAAUUCGUAGAUAUUCGGAGGAACACAGUGGCGAAGGCGGCUCACUGGCUCGAUACUGACGCUGAGGUGACGAAAGUGUGGGGAGCAAACAGGAUUAGAUACCCUGUAGUC